rnacentral:lncRNA from 1 species
UAUUACGGACGAUGAUGUUGUUGUUGAUAUUGUUGAUAUUGCUAUUGUUGAUGCUGAUAAUGUUGAGCUUCCCUGAAGGCAGGUGCUAUAUGAGCCACCUGAUGCUGGUUACUGGCCGGGCGAACAGUCUUCCUCUUUACAGAGGGUCUUCGUUUAGUAUGGGAGGACACGACAUGUGCCUCUCCCUCUUUCUUCUUUGCAAAGCCCCCAUAUCGCUUU